AUAUUUCGGAACUGAGUCUAGUUCCUUCGAUAUCAGUGUAAACUAAUAAUCAUAAUAUUUGCUGUGUUGUUAUACAGCAAAUAUCAUGAUUAUUAGAUUACACUGAUAUCGAAGGAACUAGACUCAGUUCCGAAAUAU
rnacentral:miRNA from 1 species